rnacentral:rRNA from 1 species
UACGUAGGUGGCAAGCGUUAUCCGGAAUUAUUGGGCGUAAAGCGCGCGCAGGUGGUUUCUUAAGUCUGAUGUGAAAGCCCACGGCUCAACCGUGGAGGGUCAUUGGAAACUGGGAGACUUGAGUGCAGAAGAGGAAAGUGGAAUUCCAUGUGUAGCGGUGAAAUGCGUAGAGAUAUGGAGGAACACCAGUGGCGAAGGCGGCCAACUGGGCCGACCCUGACGCUGAGGCGCGAAGGCGUGGGGAGCGAACGGG